GCUUAACACAUGCAAGUCGAGGGGCAGCACAGGUAGCAAUACCGGGUGGCGACCGGCGCACGGGUGAGUAACGCGUAUGCAACUUGCCUAUCAGAGGGGGAUAACCCGGCGAAAGUCGGACUAAUACCGCAUGAAGCAGGGAUCCCGCAUGGGAAUAUUUGCUAAAGAUUCAUCGCUGAUAGAUAGGCAUGCGUUCCAUUAGGCAGUUGGCGGGGUAACGGCCCACCAAACCGACGAUGGAUAGGGGUUCUGAGAGGAAGGUCCCCCACAUUGGUACUGAGACACGGACCAAACUCCUACGGGAGGCAGCAGUGAGGAAUAUUGGUCAAUGGCCGAGAGGCUGAACCAGCCAAGUCGCGUGAGGGAUGAAGGUUCUAUGGAUCGUAAACCUCUUUUAUAAGGGAAUAAAGUGCGGGACGUGUCCCGUUUUGUAUGUACCUUAUGAAUAAGGAUCGGCUAACUCCGUGCCAGCAGCCGCGGUAAUACGGAGGAUCCGAGCGUUAUCCGGAUUUAUUGGGUUUAAAGGGUGCGUAGGCGGCCUUUUAAGUCAGCGGUGAAAGUCUGUGGCUCAACCAUAGAAUUGCCGUUGAAACUGGGGGGCUUGAGUAUGUUUGAGGCAGGCGGAAUGCGUGGUGUAGCGGUGAAAUGCAUAGAUAUCACGCAGAACCCCGAUUGCGAAGGCAGCCUGCCAAGCCAUGACUGACGCUGAUGCACGAAAGCGUGGGGAUCAAACAGGAUUAGAUACCCUGGUAGUCCACGCAGUAAACGAUGAUCACUAGCUGUUUGCGAUACACUGUAAGCGGCACAGCGAAAGCGUUAAGUGAUCCACCUGGGGAGUACGCCGGCAACGGUGAAACUCAAAGGAAUUGACGGGGGCCCGCACAAGCGGAGGAACAUGUGGUUUAAUUCGAUGAUACGCGAGGAACCUUACCCGGGUUUGAACGCAUUCGGACCGAGGUGGAAACACCUUUUCUAGCAAUAGCCGUUUGCGAGGUGCUGCAUGGUUGUCGUCAGCUCGUGCCGUGAGGUGUCGGCUUAAGUGCCAUAACGAGCGCAACCCUUGCCACUAGUUACUAACAGGUAAAGCUGAGGACUCUGGUGGGACUGCCAGCGUAAGCUGCGAGGAAGGCGGGGAUGACGUCAAAUCAGCACGGCCCUUACAUCCGGGGCGACACACGUGUUACAAUGGCGUGGACAAAGGGAAGCCACCUGGCGACAGGGAGCGAAUCCCCAAACCACGUCUCAGUUCGGAUCGGAGUCUGCAACCCGACUCCGUGAAGCUGGAUUCGCUAGUAAUCGCGCAUCAGCCAUGGCGCGGUGAAUACGUUCCCGGGCCUUGUACACACCGCCCGUCAAGCCAUGGGAGCCGGGGGUACCUGAAGUCCGUAACCGCGAGGAUCGGCCUAGGGUAAAACUGGUGACUGGGGCUA
rnacentral:rRNA from 1 species